rnacentral:rRNA from 1 species
GAUGAACGCUGGCGGCGUGCCUAAUACAUGCAAGUCGAGCGAACAGACGAGGAGCUUGCUCCUUCGACGUUAGCGGCGGACGGGUGAGUAACACGUAGGUAACCUACCUAUAAGACUGGGAUAACUUCGGGAAACCGGAGCUAAUACCGGAUAAUAUUUCGAACCGCAUGGUUCGAUAGUGAAAGAUGGCUUUGCUAUCACUUAUAGAUGGACCUGCGCCGUAUUAGCUAGUUGGUAAGGUAACGGCUUACCAAGGCAACGAUACGUAGCCGACCUGAGAGGGGGAUCGGCCACACUGGAACUGAGCCACGGUCCAGACUCCUAGGGGAGGCAGCAGUAGGGAAUCUUCCGCAAUGGGCGAAAGCCUGACGGAGCAACGCCGCGUGAGUGAUGAAGGUCUUCGGAUCGUAAAACUCUGUUAUUAGGGAAGAACAAACGUGUAAGUAACUGUGCACGUCUUGACGGUACCUAAGCAGAAAGCCACGGCUAACUACGU